rnacentral:lncRNA from 1 species
GGGAGAACCCAGGAAAAGAGAGUUAAGAUGUUCUGAAUUCAGAUAUUUUGUAGGAUGGGGCAGAAGAAAUGAGGAUGAUUUCAUUUGCCAACUUCCCCUCUUCCAUCUCUGGACUACUACCAAGGAACACAUCACGUUAAGGAGAAUGCUAUGAGAGCAAAGCAAUGAGAGAGAAUACAGGAAAAACGUGGAAGCUUCAGUGCCUUAUUUUACCCAAGCAACAAACUCAAGGCAAGGCUUUGUGGAGUACCCUUCUAUCUGCCCGAGAAUAGACUAUUUGAGAUAUGCGGUAGGCAUUUCGGAAAAUCCAGUCGAGUAUGAGGUUCAACCCUCUGCAUUUUUUUUUUUUUUUUAAUGAAAAGAGCUUGAGAAGAACUCAAUUCAGCUGCUGCUUCAUCUAGGGCACAGGUGUAUGUGUUCAUGAUUUCAAGGAUGAGGUGAAAAGUCUCCUCAGUCAACCAGUGUUACAGCUUCAAAUAAAAGGAACACAUAUUGAAGGAAGAAGACAAUGUCAUAAAGCUUAUCUAGUGUUUGUGGUAUGGCCCAUCCAAUGAACAGAAAAAUCAUGUGAAUCCCGGAGCUUCUACCUAGCAGUAAACUCACUGAUCUUCAGGGUGUUUCUUUGCAAAAUCCAGGCUUUUGGAUUCAGACUAGAACUACAACAUUGGCUCUCCCGGGUCUUCAACUUGCCAACUGCGGAUCUUGAGACUUGUCAACUUCCAUAACCUCCAACUCUCUCUCUCUCUCUCGCUCUGUGUGUGUGUGUGAGAGAGUGUGUGUAUGUCCGUGUGCAUGUGUGUGUAAGUGACAGAAAGACAGACACACACACAGUUCCAUUUCUGUGGAGAACCCUAAUACAUCUACCUACUUAAGACAUCGAAUUCCUAAUAAAAAGAUCAAAAACUGUUUUAAAUUAAUAAUACAUAAUGAUGUCAAUGGCAGAGCAAAAUUCUCACAUCGCUUGAAGAGGGUCUAAUUUAAAACCUUUCUGAACAGUCAUUUCACAGCAUGCAUUAAAACUUUAAAAUUGUGUGUAGUUUCCUUUUUUUUUUUUUCUUGAGAUGGAGUCUCGCUCUGUCACUCAGGCUGGAGUGCAGUGGUGCGAUCUCAGCUCACUGCAACCUCCACCUCCCAGGUUCAAGUGAUUCUCCUGACUCAGCCACCCCAGUAGCUGGGAUUACAGGCACCUGCCACCACGCCCAGUUAAUUUUUGUAGUUUUAGUAGAGAUGGUAUUUCACCAUGUUGGCCAGGCUGGUCUUGAACUCCUGACCUCAGGCGACCCACCUGCCUCGGUCUCCCAAAGUGCUAGGAUUAUAGGCAUGAGCCAACCUUCCCAGCUGUGUGUAGUUUCUUAUAAUUUUAUUUCCUGGUGAAUGCAUACACACACACACACACACACACACACACACAGAAUAUAAUCAAAACUAUAAUCAAUUAUCUAUGUCCACAGGAUAUUAGCUAUUUGACUCUGUUAUUUAAAUUAGUAACAUAUAUAACAGAGUCAAAUUACACACAACCAAAUGUCCAACAAUAGGAGAAUGAUUAAACAAAUUACAUCACUUUCAAAGGAUAUAUUAUGUAACUCAUUAAGAUAUUUUCAAAGAUUGGUCAAAAAUAUGGAAAAAUAAUCAUAAUAUAAUGACAAUUUUUAGAAUGGUGAAAAUCAGCGGUGUUUAGUUCUGUAGACUAGAGUAAAAGGCUACAAUGUUGACAGUAAUUAUUUCAAAUUGGAGGGUAACAGGUGAAUUUUUCUGUAUUUUUCAUAUUUUCUAUAAUUAGAAUAAAUUACCUUUAAAAGAAAUAUAAAAAACAUUAUCCAAAACUGCUCAAAGAAAAUCCUAUUAAAUGACUUCAUUAAGAUUCUAUGGAUAAUUGUCGAUGAAGACAGUUUUUAAAACAAAUCUGAAAAAACUGUAACAGCUUUUUAUAAUGUUAUUUUUAAAAAUCUAAGCUUUUUAAUAAAGUAUAUAGCUACAGAUACGAGCUGAAUUGUGAUCUCCUAAAAGUCAUUUGUUGAACCCCUAACUCCAAAUCCAACUGUAAUUGGAGAUAGGACCUCUAAAGGGAUAAUUAAGGUUAAAUGAGGUCAGAUGAGUGUGGGGCCCUAAUCCUGUAAGACUAGUGUAUUUAUAAGAAAAGGAAGAAACACCAGGGAUGCACAUGCACAGAGAAAAGACCAUGUGAGCACAAAGCAAGAAGAAGGCCACCUGUAAGCCGAGGAGACAGGCCUCAGGAGAAACCAAAUCUGCCAAUACUUGGAUCUUGGACUUCCAGCCUCCAGAAGUGUGAGGAAAUAAACUUCUCUUUUUUAAGCCAACCAGUCUGUGGCAUUUUAUUUUGGCAAUGCUUGCAAACUAACAUAAAACAUAAUAAAGUACUAUAAA